AGAGUUUGAUCCUGGCUCAGGAUGAACGCUGGCGGUCUGCUUAACACAUGCAAGUCGAACGCAACCUUCGGGUUGAGUGGCGGACGGGUGAGUAACGCGUGAGAAUCUGCCUUAGGGUCGGGGACAACCACUGGAAACGGUGGCUAAUACCGGAUAAGCCGAUUGGUGAAAGAUUUAUUGCCCGAAGAGGAGCUCGCGUCUGAUUAGCUAGUUGGUGAGGUAAGAGCUCACCAAGGCAGCGAUCAGUAGCUGGUCUGAGAGGACGAUCAGCCACACUGGGACUGAGACACGGCCCAGACUCCUACGGGAGGCAGCAGUGGGGAAUUUUCCGCAAUGGGCGAAAGCCUGACGGAGCAAGACCGCGUGAGGGAGGAAGGCUCUUGGGUUGUAAACCUCUUUUCUCAGGGAAGAAGCUCUGACGGUACCUGAGGAAUCAGCCUCGGCUAACUCCGUGCCAGCAGCCGCGGUAAUACGGAGGAGGCAAGCGUUAUCCGGAAUUAUUGGGCGUAAAGCGUCCGCAGGUGGCGAUUCAAGUCUGCUGUCAAAGCACGGGGCUUAACUCCGUUAAGGCAGUGGAAACUGAAUAGCUAGAGUGCCGU
rnacentral:rRNA from 1 species